AUUGAACGCUGGCGGCAGGCCUAACACAUGCAAGUCGAACGAGUGGCGGACGGGCGAGUAAUGUCUGUGAAUCUGCCUGAUGGAGGGGGUUCACUACUGGCAACGGUAGCUCAUACCGCAUACCAUCGUAUGUGCCCAGAUGGGAUUAGAUAGUAGGUGGGGUAAAGGAUCACCUAGGCGUCGAUCACUAGCUGGUCUGAGAGGAUGACCAGCCACACGGGAACUGAGAAACGUUCCAGACUCCAACGGGAGGCAGAAGUGGGGAAUAUGGCACGAUGGGCGAAAGCCUGAUGCAGCAAUGCGGGGAGUAUGAAGAAGGCCUUCGGGUUGUAAAGUACUUUCAGCGGGGAGGCGUUGCCCGCAGAAGAAGCACCGGCUAACUCCGUGCCAGCAGCCGCGGUAAUAC
rnacentral:rRNA from 1 species